UACGAAGGGGGCUAGCGUUGCUCGGAAUCACUGGGCGUAAAGGGUGCGUAGGCGGGUCUUUAAGUCAGGGGUGAAAUCCUGGAGCUCAACUCCAGAACUGCCUUUGAUACUGAAGAUCUUGAGUUCGGGAGAGUGAGUGGAACUGCGAGUGUAGAGGUGAAAUUCGUAGAUAUUCGCAAGAACACCAGUGGCGAAGGCGGCUCACUGGCCCGAUACUGACGCUGAGGACGAAAGCGUGGGGGAGCAAACAGGA
rnacentral:rRNA from 1 species